UUGGUUAAGUUAGAAAGGGCGCACGGUGGAUGCCUUGGCACUAGGAGCCGAAGAAGGACGGGACUAACACCGAUAUGCUUUGGGGAGCUGUACGUAAGCGUUGAUCCAGAGAUUUCCGAAUGGGGGAACCCACUAUCUUUAGUCGGAUAGUAUCCUUACGUGAAUACAUAGCGUAAGGAAGGCAGACCCAGGGAACUGAAACAUCUAAGUACCUGGAGGAAGAGAAAGAAAAAUCGAUUUCCUGAGUAGCGGCGAGCGAAACGGAAAGAGCCCAAACCAAGAAGCUUGCUUCUUGGGGUUGUAGGACACUCUAUACGGAGUUACAAAAGAAAGUUAUAAAUGAAGCGGUCUGGAAAGGCCCGCCAAAGACGGUAACAGCCCGGUAGUUGAAAUGGCUUUCCCUCCAGAGUGGAUCCUGAGUACGGCGGAACACGUGAAAUUCCGUCGGAAUCCGGGAGGACCAUCUCCCAAGGCUAAAUACUCCCUAGUGACCGAUAGUGAACCAGUACCGUGAGGGAAAGGUGAAAAGCACCCCGGAAGGGGAGUGAAACAGUUCCUGAAACCGUGUGCCUACAAGUAGUUAGAGCCCGUUAAUGGGUGAUAGCGUGCCUUUUGUAGAAUGAACCGGCGAGUUACGAUUUGUUGCAAGGUUAAGCGGAAAAAGCGGAGCCGUAGCGAAAGCGAGUCUGAAUAGGGCGCAUAAGUAACAGGUCGUAGACCCGAAACCAGGUGAUCUACCCAUGUCCAGGAUGAAGGUAAGGUAAUACUUACUGGAGGUCCGAACCCACGCACGUUGAAAAGUGCGGGGAUGAGGUGUGGGUAGCGGAGAAAUUCCAAUCGAACUUGGAGAUAGCUGGUUCUCUCCGAAAU
rnacentral:rRNA from 1 species